AACGAACGCUGGCGGCAGGCUUAACACAUGCAAGUCGAACGCAUCCUUCGGGGUGAGUGGCAGACGGGUGAGUAACGCGUGGGAACGUGCCCUUCAGUUCGGGAUAACCCAGGGAAACUUGGGCUAAUACCGGAUACGUGCGAGAGCAGAAAGAUUUAUCGCUGAAGGAUCGGCCCGCGUCUGAUUAGCUAGUUGGUGGGGUAAUGGCCCACCAAGGCUACGAUCAGUAGCUGGUCUGAGAGGAUGAUCAGCCACAUUGGGACUGAGACACGGCCCAAACUCCUACGGGGGGCAGCAGAGGGGACUAUGGGACAAUGGGCGCAAGCCUGUUCCAGCCAUGCCGCGUGAGUGAUGAAGGCCUUAGGGUUGUAAAGCUCUUUCGUCCGGGACGAUAAUGACGGUACCGGAGGAAGAAGCCCCGGCUAACUUCGUGCCAGCCGCCGCCGUAA
rnacentral:rRNA from 1 species